rnacentral:rRNA from 1 species
UACGGAGGGGGCGAGCGUUAUUCGGAAUUAUUGGGCGUAAAGGGCGCGUAGGCGGCUGAACAAGUCAAAGGUGAAAUCCCUCGGCUCAACUGAGGAACUGCCUUUGAAACUGUUCGGCUUGAGGCCGGGAGGGGGUAGCGGAAUUCCCAGUGUAGCGGUGAAAUGCGUAGAUAUUGGGAGGAACACCAGUGGCGAAGGCGGCUACCUGGACAGUUCCUGACGCUGAGGCACGAAGGUCAGGGGAGCAAACGGG